AUGCCUCCGCCUCGCCGCGCGCUCCUCUGCUCCCUCCUCCGCAUCCGCGGCUGCUCCUCCCUUGCCCACCACCGACCGCGGCCGCCGCCGCCCUCCUCGCGCCGCCACCAGUUCGUCGCCGACCCCAACGCCGCCGCCGGCACGGGGCGAAGCAGCGUCGGCGGAAACCCCUUGGACCCCACCCAGCUCCUCCGCGACGACCCGGUGUCCAUCACCGCGUCGCUGUGGGUCUCCUCCUUCCGCGCCGCCGCGCCUGGCGACGCCGCUCCGCCACCGCCGCCGACGCUGGCCCCCUUCCUCACUCGCCUCGAGCUCUGGGUGCUCGCCUACCAGAAGGCCUACGCGGACGAGACCGGCUCCUACCUACCCCGUUCCUCCAUCCCCGCCUCCACGCUCACCUCCAUCCUCACGCUCCGCAACGCCGUCAUCGACGCCCGCUUCCGCUUCGGCAACCGCCUCACACCCUACCUCCACUCCCCACGCGCCGCGGCGGCCCCGGACCCCGCCACCCUCUCCAAGCGCAAGCUCCGCGCCCUCCUCACCACCCCGGGCCCGGCCCCCUUCCAGGACCGCGUCGUGCAAGAGCUACUCCUGCUGCUGCUCGAGCCCGUGUAUGAGGCGCGGUUCUCGCCCAAGUCCUUUGCCUUCCGCCCUGGGCGAUCCCCGCAUGCCACACUCCGUAGCAUCCGCCGGAGCUGGGCGCCCUACCUCUGGUACAUCAAGGGAGACCUCUCCCCGCUGCUUGAUUCCCCCGACCCUGCGCUCGUGGUCGGUGCGCUCAUCCGGGAUGUGCGUGACAAGAAAGUCGUCGAUUUAGUCCGUUCGGCGCUGCUUACUCCAGUGGUGACCGCAAGGCCUGGUGAUGAUGAUGCAUCAAAGAAGAAGAAGAAGAGGAAGUACCAGAAAAAGAAGGUGCUGCCUGAAGGGGAGCCGAAGCCUGACCCCUACUGGUUGCAGACAUUCUUUGGGUUUGCACCAGAGGAGGCUCUGACUCAGCCUGAUUGGGGGCAUUGUGGGGUGUUGAGCCCGUUGCUCGCCAAUGUCUGCCUGGAUGAGUUUGAUAAGUGGAUGGACGAGAAGAUCAAGGAGUUCUACAAGCCGUCCAAGUCGGAUGUUGUGGGAGGGGAGGAUGGCAUCGAGCAGGGGAAUACAUCAUGGCCGGAGUUUGUACCCACGAGCGGGCCUGACAAAACAAGGAAGGUGGACUAUAUUCGGUUUGGCGGGCAUUUCUUGAUUGGGGUGAGGGGGCCUAGGGCUGAUGCUGCAGUGAUCCGAAAGCAGCUCAUUGAAUUUUGUGAUCAGCGGUUCAGGAUCAAGCUUGACAAUGAGAGCCUCCCAAUUGAACACAUCACUAAAGGGAUCAUGUUUCUUGAUCAUGUGUUGUGUCGUCGUGUCGUGUACCCAACCCUCCGUUACACAGCCACUGGAGGCAAGAUCAUUAGCGAGAAGGGGGUUGGUACUUUGCUCUCUGUUACAGCCAGUUUGAAACAGUGCAUCAGGCAGUUCCGGAAGCUAGAGUUUUUAAAGGGAGACCGUGAGCCAGACCCACAGCCAUGUUUCCGGAUGUUCCAUGCCACACAAGCUCACACUAACUUGCAGAUGAAUAAGCUUUUAACGACGAUGGCAGAAUGGUAUCGCUACGCUGAUAACCGCAAAAAGGUUGUCAACUUUUGCUCCUACAUUAUAAGGGGGUCCUUGGCAAAGUUAUAUGCCGCCAAGUAUAAGCUGCGGUCAAGGGCAAAGGUUUAUAAGAUUGCAUCAAGGAAUCUUAGUCGACCAUUGAAGGAUAAGAAAGGGCAGUCACCAGAGUACACCAAUUUGCUGAGAAUGGGUCUUGUAGACUCAGUUGAUGGACUCCAGUAUACAAGGAUGUCAAUGGUUCCUGAUCCUGACUAUACACCAUUACCAAGCGGGUGGCGCCCAGACCACGAGAAGUUUUUGCUUGAAUAUAUAAAGCUCACAGAUCAACAAACACUGGAAGAGCAGCGGAGUUGCAUUAGAGAGGAGGGGCUUAUAACACCACAAGACCACAUUUCAAUGCUUGUAUGGAGCUACAAGAAAAAUGCAGUUUUACUACCUUCUUCAAAAGAGAGUGAUGUCCAAGAUUCCAUAGAAGACCUUGGUUCAGACACAGAUGAAUUGAAUAACAAGGAACUAGGGCAUGGAGGCCAUCAGGGUUUUCCACAACCUACUGAAAUGUCUUGA
rnacentral:rRNA from 1 species